rnacentral:rRNA from 1 species
UACAGAGGGUGCGAGCGUUAAUCGGAAUUACUGGGCGUAAAGAGCGUGUAGGCGGCCUGAAAGGUCAGCUGUGAAAACUCGAGGCUCAACCUCGAGACGUCGGUUGAAACCAUCUGGCUAGAGUCCGGAAGAGGAGAGUGGAAUUCCCGGUGUAGCGGUGAAAUGCGCAGAUAUCGGGAAGAACACCCGUGGCGAAGGCGGCUCUCUGGGACGGUACUGACGCUGAGACGCGAAAGCGUGGGGAGCGAACAGG